GGCUGGUUUGAUGGUAGUGGGCUAUCAGAACUUAUUAACAUUAGUGUCAUUAAAGUUGGUAUACAAUCUCCCACUGCUAAAUUUGACUGGCUUGAA
ensembl:misc_RNA Y_RNA Y RNA